GCUCUUCCGGGCAUGGCGCUACUCUGCUGUCCGGUGGUGGAUGUAGGCGUGAGGACGCUUGUCUCACGAAGCUCGUAGUAGGUAUGGGGUCCUCGCCUCAUCCUCGAGAAGCGAUCGCGCGGUAGAUGUAAAAUGUGACCAAUGCGUAAAGGAGAAGGGCACGGCGCUGCGAAAGUUUAGGGCCGAGGAGAUGGCUCCCCGGGCCAAGGCGCUGGCCGCGGAGCCUCAACAUCGUGGGUUCGAUCCUGGGACCCACUUGGAGAGAUCCGACUUCCUCAACACGUCCCCUGACUUCACUACGAUCUCAGUCGUGUACGCGCCACCCACAUUCAAAACCGCAAAGGACAGACUUAGAAUACAAGCCGAAUACUGAUGGAUGAAAAGUGGGAAUUGUUCAGGGAGUAACGUCCUUUGUGAAGAAAGAGCCAGUGAAGAGGGAUAGUGGGAAGAAAAAAAAAUUCAAAUAUGGGGAAGGGGUAUGGAAACGUGAAGACUGGAGAAUUGGCGCAACCUGGUUGCAUCUUCCCGUUACUCCCACGUGUUUUUCUUUUGAUGGUUUGUUUUCCGACCUGUGUGUUAAUGAUAUAACUGCUUAAUAUUCAGCUCUGUAAGUUCCUGUGCCGUCUACUUUUAUGUCAACUGAACACAAGCUUCUGAGAGGAGGAGUCAACUGAGAAAAUGCCUCUAUAAGAUCAGGCUGCAGACCGAGGGCCGGACCCCCGGCCAGGGACUGCUGCAAGCGCUCCUUCACAGCUACCAGCUUGAGCUCCAGGUCGAUCCUCUGCUCUUCCUUGGCACGGCAUUGAGCUUCCAGAGUGGCCACGGCCUCUUCCAAGGCCUUCGACUUUGCUCCUGAGUCCAGAGACACGGAUGAGAAAGUCUGCGGGGCUAAAGGCCCCACUCCACCCCCCCCCCCCGCCCCUUGCUGGAGUGUCCAGAAGGACUGGGUGAAGGCUUGUACUGCAGCCACUAUGUCACCACAAAGAGAAAGAGAAUAAAGUCACAUUUCUCUGUACUUCACUACACC
rnacentral:lncRNA from 1 species